rnacentral:rRNA from 1 species
CAGUUGUGAGGAAAAGUUAGUAGUUAAUACCUGCUAGCCGUGACGUUAACAACAGAAGAAGCACCGGCUAACUCCGUGCCAGCAGCCGCGGUAAUACGGAGGGUCCGAGCGUUAUCCGGAAUCAUUGGGUUUAAAGGGUCCGCAGGCGGCCAGAUAAGUCAGUGGUGAAAUUCCGUGGCUCAACCACGGAACUGCCAUUGAUACUGUUUGGCUUGAAUCAGUUCGAGGAUGCCGGAAUGUGUGGUGUAGCGGUGAAAUGCAUAGAUAUCACACAGAACACCAAUUGCGAAGGCAGGUGUCCAGAACUGUAUUGACGCUGAUGGACGAAAGCGUGGGUAGCGAACAGGAUUAGAUACCCUGGUAGUCCACGCCGUAAACGAUGGUCACUAGCUGUCCGGACUUAGGUCUGGGUGGCCAAGCGAAAGUGAUAAGUGACCCACCUGGGGAGUACGUUCGCAAGAAUGAAACUCAAAGGAAUUGACGGGGGCUCACACAAGCGGUGGAGGAUGUGGCUUAAUUCGAGGCUACGCGAAGAACCUUAUCCUAGACUUGACAUGCUUGAGAAUCCCUAUGAAAGUAGAGAGUGCCCUUCGGGGAGCUCUUGCACAGGUGCUGCAUGGCUGUCGUCAGCUCGUGUCGUGAGAUGUCGGGUUAAGUCCCUUAACGAGCGAAACCCUUAUCUUUAGUUGCCAGCGGGUAAUGCCGGGGACUCUAAAGAGACUGCCGGUGUCAAACCGGAGGAAGGUGGGGAUGACGUCAAGUCCUCAUGGCCCUUACGGGU